UACGUAGGUGGCAAGCGUUGUCCGGAAUUAUUGGGCGUAAAGCGCGCGUAGGUGGUUCCUUAAGUCUGAUGUGAAAGCCCACGGCUCAACCGUGGAGGGUCAUUGGAAACUGGGGAACUUGAGUGCAGAAGAGGAAAGUGGAAUUCCAAGUGUAGCGGUGAAAUGCGUAGAGAUUUGGAGGAACACCAGUGGCGAAGGCGACUUUCUGGUCUGUAACUGACACUGAGGCGCGAAAGCGUGGGGAGCAAACAGG
rnacentral:rRNA from 1 species